rnacentral:lncRNA from 1 species
UCCCUUUUUUAAACUGUUUCUGUGAGCAACCACAAGUGGUUUUCUUUGGUCCCCUUUCAUAACCAACUGCCACACGAUGGCUGCACCUGCCAAUGGUUUUGCUCAAUUCCUCUAUAAAAACCCCUGGCUAGCUAGCUUCUGGCUCAUUCUCAUAUUGAACAAAAGCAAAAGCGCUUUAGAAGAAGAAGAAGAGAAUUGAGUAUAGGUUCAUCUGAGCAAAAAUGUCUGCAGUAGUGGAGAUAUGGGUGACUGAGCUAGCUAAGCUUAAAGAGAAGGUCAGACAAAGGAAGCCAUUAAUAAGCUUGUCAAAAGCCAAAGGAGCAGUAGUAGCUGAAGAGGAUAAGGAAGCUGGGAAAGAGAGCAAAGUGUUUAAGAGAGAAACUAAUAUUUCCGAGUCCACAGUUUUCAUGCUUAUGGACAGGUUUGCUCCUUCUUGAUAAACACAUCAAACCCUAUUAUGUAAAUAAAUUAGUGCCCAUGUAUUGUAUAUGUUUAUCAAUGCAAAAUGUUUUGUUUUAUGUUUUUUUUUCUGACUAAAAUGUUUAACCCACAAAAUUAUAUUGCAAUCGCAUUCAUGGAGAUGGAUCAAAAUGGAAUGAAUUUGGUAAAUUUGGAAAUGGGUUUCCUUCUUAGAACUAGCACCAGAAGGAUUCUGGAGAAAUUUAACAGUGGCAAUAAAUAAGAAGGACUACAGAUUGCAGUUUUCCUUUCACAGUUUUGCUUGUCAAUGAAUUUUACAAGUUCCUAUAUUUUAAACAAGUAAAUUAAUUAAAAAAAUUCAAUUUUGUAAAAAUUACUAAUUAAAUAUAUGAAGUUAAAUAGCUUUACAUAUAGCAUGAAAUUUUGUUUGACCAAUGGAAUGGCCGUUUGCCCCAAGGCCGGUUUUGCUAAUCAGGCAAUUAAUAAUUUUUUUUCAAGUCGUUUGCUUAUUCAAUAAGAACCUGCUGUGGUCUUCAAUUGCCAAUUUCCACAGCAUUCAGUCUUUCUUUCAAAUAUAUUUACUUUCAGGUCUUUCCUUGAAUUUUUUUUUUUUUUUUUAUCGAACUCUUUCCUUGAAUUGCAUAUGUAUAAACAAUCAAGUUUCAAUUUCCCAUUUGUCCAGACUCAAGACAGAGAAAAGCAGCAAUAAAUAUUGUACAACAUAAUGUUACAUCCUUUUUGUAAAAUAUACCUUUUCUUUCCCUCAAUUUUUUCUCUUCUUUAUUUAGAUGAACAAUCUUUGACUUAGCAUAGACUUUAACUUCAAUUGGACAGAAGAAAAUACAAGUGAAACUGGAAAUUAAUGUUGUCAAGCAGGCUGAUCAGGUUCAGUGCCCGAGAAACCACUGCCAACUAGAAGAGGACUGUAAAGUCCAUGCUCAAGUUCCAUACCCACAUUUUUCCCAGUAACUCGCUCAAGAGGAGCACUUGGCAAAGACAAGAUGGCACGAACUAGCUUUCCUACUCUUGUCUGCAACAAACCAUCACCAAGAUUAAUUGAUGUAGGAAAUGAACAUGAAGAUG